AUUGAACGCUGGCGGCAGGCCUAACACAUGCAAGUCGAACGAGUGGCGGAAGGGUGAGUAAUGUCUGGGAAACUGCCUGAUGGAGGGGGCUCACUACUGGAAACGGUAGCUAAUACCGCAUAACAUCCAAUGUGCCCAGAUGGGAUUAGCUAGUUGGUGGGGUAACGGGUCACCAAGGCGAAGAUCCCUAGACGGUAUGAGAGGAUGACCAGCCACACUGUAACGGAGACACGGUCCAGACUCCUACGGGAGUCAGCAGUGGGGAAUAUUGCACAAAGGGCGCAAUCCUGAUGCAGCCAUGCCGCGUGUAUGAAGAAGGCCGUCGGGUUGUAAAGUACUUUCAGCGGGGAGGCGUUACCCGCAGAAGAAGCACCGGCUAACUCCGUGCCAGCAGCCGCGGUAAUUC
rnacentral:rRNA from 1 species